rnacentral:rRNA from 1 species
CCUACGGGUGGCAGCAGUGGGGAAUAUUGGGCAAUGGGCGCAAGCCUGACCCAGCAACGCCGCGUGAAGGAAGAAGGCUUUCGGGUUGUAAACUUCUUUUCUCAGGGACGAAGAAAGUGACGGUACCUGAGGAAUAAGCCACGGCUAACUACGUGCCAGCAGCCGCGGUAAUACGGAGGUGGCAAGCGUUCUCCGGAUUUAUUGGGUGUAAAGGGCGUGUAGGCGGGAGGGCAAGUCAGAUGUGAAAACUCAGGGCUCAACCCUGAGCCUGCAUUUGAAACUGUGGUGCUUGAGUGCUGGAGAGGCAGGCGGAAUUCGGGGUGUAGCGGUGAAAUGCGUAGAUAUAAGGAGGAACACCGGUGGCGAAGGCGGAUUGCUGGACAGUAACUGACGCUGAGGUGCGAAAGCGUGGGGAGCAAACAGGAUUAGAUACCCGGGUAGUC